GACGAACGCUGGCGGCGUGCUUAACACAUGCAAGUCGAACGGUGAUGCCCCAGCUUGCUGGUGUGGAUCAGUGGCGAACGGGUGAGUAACACGUGAGCAACCUGCCCCAGACUCUGGAAUAAGCGCUGGAAACGGCGUCUAAUACUGGAUACGAAACUGGCCCGCAUGGGCAUGGUUUGGUAAGUUUUUCGGUUUGGGAUGGGCUCGCGGCCUAUCAGCUUGUUGGUGAGGUAAUGGCUCACCAAGGCGACGACGGGUAGCCGGCCUGAGAGGGCGACCGGCCACACUGGGACUGAGACACGGCCCAGACGCCUACGGGAGGCAGCAGUGGGGAAUAUUGCACAGUGGGCGAAAGCCUGAUGCAGCGACGCCGCGUGAGGGAUGACGGCCUGCGGGUUGUAAACCUCUGUCAGCAGGGAAGAAGCGAAAGUGACGGUACCUGCAGAAGAAGCACCGGCUAACUACGUG
rnacentral:rRNA from 1 species